GUGGUGUGUGUGUGUGUCAGUCAGCACCAGGGGAAUUAUCUGCAUAGACGAGAUUGUUUUAGGUUUUUAAAAAUUGGCUAUCAUGUCUCAACUGCAGUUAAGUAUGUGUUCUCUCUUCUACCUUUCGAGGCUGAUCUUUCCUCGGUUGUACAGGUUAAUUCAAGAGCAUCACUUACACUCUCGAGUACGUUUGGACGGAUUUGUGUAACCAAGCUAAGGAUCACCAAGGUUUAAUUCUCCUUUGGGGCCCAGUUUAGAGCAUUCGGGCAAACAAGGAUAUCAAUUUAUUACUUAACGUUAAAAAUUGGUGGUAUAUACUAUAUGUGAGUAUGAGGGGGCUACGAGGUGUGUGCUUUGAUUAAUAGCAUACGUCCAGUACAUGUGAGUUUGUUUGGAACUUUCGACUUGGGACACAUUUGUUUGGCAGUUUAAAUCAAAAUAGUUUAUUCUCCGUGACAGUUGAUGUUUGUUCUUUCAGAGAAUGGCACGUUCAUAUUUCGUCCAGCAUAUUGUUGUAAACUUUAAUAUGUAGUCCAAGGCUUAAUU